rnacentral:rRNA from 1 species
GUAGGGUGCGAGCGUUGUCCGGAAUUAUUGGGCGUAAAGGGCUCGUAGGCGGUUUGUCGCGUCGGGAGUGAAAUCCACUGGCUUAACUGGUGGCUUGCUUUCGAUACGGGCAGACUGGAGGUAUGCAGGGGAGAACGGAAUUCCUGGUGUAGCGGUGAAAUGCGCAGAUAUCAGGAGGAACACCGGUGGCGAAGGCGGUUCUCUGGGCAUGUCCUGACGCUGAGGAGCGAAAGUGUGGGGAGCGAACAGGAUUAGAUACCCUGGUAGUCCACACCGUAAACGUUGGGCGCUAGGUGUGGGAUCCAUUCCACGGGUUCCGUGCCGCAGCUAACGCAUUAAGCGCCCCGCCUGGGGAGUACGGCCGCAAGGCUA